AUCCAGAUGACGAGUCCCAAAUAGGACGAAACACGUGUCACCGAU
rnacentral:hammerhead_ribozyme from 1 species